rnacentral:rRNA from 1 species
CCUACGGGAGGCAGCAGUGGGGAAUAUUGGGCAAUGGAGGAAACUCUGACCCAGCGACGCCGCGUGCGGGAUGAAGGCCUUCGGGUUGUAAACCGCUUUCAGCAGGGAAGAAGCGAAAGUGACGGUACCUGCAGAAGAAGCACCGGCUAACUAUGUGCCAGCAGCCGCGGUAAUACAUAGGGUGCAAGCGUUGUCCGGAAUUAUUGGGCGUAAAGAGCUCGUAGGUGGUUCGUCACGUCGGAUGUGAAAAUCUGGGGCUUAACCCCAGACCUGCAUUCGAUACGGGCGAGCUUGAGUAUGGUAGGGGAGUCUGGAAUUCCUGGUGUAGCGGUGGAAUGCGCAGAUAUCAGGAGGAACACCAAUGGCGAAGGCAGGACUCUGGGCCAUUACUGACACUGAGGAGCGAAAGCGUGGGGAGCGAACAGGAUUAGAUACCCUGGUAGUCCACGCCGUAAACGGUGGGCACUAGUUGUGGGGACCUUCCACGGUCUCUGCGACGCNGCUACGCAUAAGUCGCCCGCCGUCGGGAGGUACGAGUCGCGAAGAACUUAAAACUUAAAACGUUAAGUAAGUUAGUACGGACGUGAGACGUACGACCGAACGGACGACGACGAGGGAGGUAGG